rnacentral:misc_RNA from 1 species
UUAAGUUCAGCGGGUAUUCCUACCUGAUCCGAGGUCAACCUUGAGUUAAAGGGGUGCUUUAACGGCAGGAGCACCGCACAACGCCCUAAGCGAGAUAAUGAAUUACUACGCUCGGGGUUGUAGCGAGCCCGCCACUUCCUUUCAGGGCCCACGGCAGCCGUGGGGCCCCAACACCAAGCAGGGCUUGAGGGUUGCAAUGA